GUGAGCGGGAGGCCAGGACAUGGCAGGGGGAGCUGCACUGUGGUCGGAGGGGUCCCAGUGUCUGAACCCUAUCCUCCCGCAGG
rnacentral:pre_miRNA from 1 species